AGAGGAUCUUCAGAGAAGAAUGGGAGAAACUCUCCAAAUACAGGUGCUACAGAGACAGAAUAUUCCAAGGACCUCCAGAGCCUUCUGACCAACUAUCUGCGGUCUCUCCAGAGCACAGAGAAGUGAGUCUGCUGUGCCAUGGAACUCUAGAGCAGCAUAUAAAAAAAACACGCCAACAUGUUGUCAGCAGGCCGUUCCGAGGAAGGAUACAACGGUCAAGGCUUUCAAUGGCCGAAUUUGGGGGAUGACUAAAUGCAAUAAAGCUGUGUAUAAACUAUGAA